rnacentral:rRNA from 1 species
UACAGAGGUCUCAAGCGUUGUUCGGAUUCAUUGGGCGUAAAGGGUGCGUAGGUGGCGCCGUAAGUCAGGUGUGAAAUCUCGGGGCUCAACCCCGAAACUGCACUUAAUACUGCGGUGCUCGAGUACUGGAGAGGAGAUUGGAAUUUACGGUGUAGCAGUGAAAUGCGUAGAUAUCGUAAGGAAGACCAGUGGCGAAGGCGAAUCUCUGGACAGUUACUGACACUGAGGCACGAAGGCCAGGGGAGCAAACGGG